CACCAUAUCAUGCUGAAAAGCCAGUUCCCAUAUGAUCAUUGAUGUUAAGGAACCUUGAGCUUGGUCAGUACCUAGAUGGGUGACCAUUUGGAAAUACCAGGUGCUGUAAG